rnacentral:tRNA from 1 species
GCCUGUGUAGUCCAACAGCAGAGACAGCCGCCUCAAAACCGGCGCAGUGCGAGUGCAACUCUCGCCACAGGCACCA